rnacentral:rRNA from 1 species
GAGUUUGAUCCUGGCUCAGAUUGAACGCUGGCGGCAGGCCUAACACAUGCAAGUCGAGCGGUAACAGGUGUAGCAAUACAUGCUGACGAGCGGCGGACGGGUGAGUAACGCUUGGGAAUCUGCCUGUUAGUGGGGGACAACCCGGGGAAACUCGGGCUAAUACCGCAUACGCACUACGGUGGAAAGCCGGGGACCGCAAGGCCUGGCGCUAACAGAUGAGCCCAAGUCGGAUUAGCUAGUUGGUAGGGUAACGGCCUACCAAGGCGACGAUCCGUAACUGGUCUGAGAGGACGACCAGUCACACCGGAACUGAGACACGGUCCGGACUCCUACGGGAGGCAGCAGUGGGGAAUAUUGGACAAUGGGCGAAAGCCUGAUCCAGCGACGCCGCGUGGGUGAAGAAGGCCUGCGGGUUGUAAAGCCCUUUCGGUGGGGAAGAAAAGCCUCGAGUUAAUACCUCGGGGUCUUGACGUAACCCAUAGAAGAAGCACCGGCUAACUCUGUGCCAGCAGCCGCGGUAAUACAGAGGGUGCGAGCGUUAAUCGGAAUUACUGGGCGUAAAGCGCGCGUAGGCGGCUUUGCAAGUCGGGUGUGAAAUCCCCAGGCUUAACCUGGGAACUGCAUUCGAGACUGCAUUGCUAGAGUAUGGGAGAGGGAAGUGGAAUUUCCGGUGUAGCGGUGAAAUGCGUAGAUAUCGGAAGGAACAUCAGUGGCGAAAGCGACUUCCUGGACCAAUACUGACGCUCAUGUGCGAAAGCGUGGGGAGCAAACAGGAUUAGAUACCCUGGUAGUCCACGCCA